rnacentral:rRNA from 1 species
GAUGAACGCUGGCGGCGUGCCUAAUACAUGCAAGUCGAGCGAACAGAUAAGGAGCUUGCUCCUUUGAAGUUAGCGGCGGACGGGUGAGUAACACGUGGGUAACCUACCUAUAAGACUGGGAUAAUUUCGGGAAACCGGAGCUAAUACCGGAUAACAUUUAGAACCGCAUGGUUCUAAAGUGAAAGAUGGUUUUGCUAUCACUUAUAGAUGGACCCGCGCCGUAUUAGCUAGUUGGUAAGGUAACGGCUUACCAAGGCGACGAUACGUAGCCGACCUGAGAGGGUGAUCGGCCACAUUGGAACUGGGACACGGUCCAGACUCCUACGGGAGGCAGCAGUAGGGAAUCUUCCGCAAUGGGCGAAAGCCUGACGGAGCAACGCCGCGUGAGUGAUGAAGGGUUUCGGCUCGUAAAACUCUGUUAUUAGGGAAGAACAAAUGUGUAAGUAACUGUGCACAUCUUGACGGUACCUAAUCAGAAAGCCACGGCUAACUACGUG